rnacentral:tRNA from 1 species
GCGGGAAUAGCUCAGUUGGUAGAGCACGACCUUGCCAAGGUCGGGGUCGCGAGUUCGAACCUCGUUUCCCGCUCCAUUC